rnacentral:rRNA from 1 species
UACCAGCACCCCGAGUGGUCGGGACGUUUAUUGGGCCUAAAGCAUCCGUAGCCGGUUCUACAAGUCUUCCGUUAAAUCCACCUGCUUAACAGAUGGGCUGCGGAAGAUACUAUAGAGCUAGGAGGCGGGAGAGGCAAGCGGUACUCGAUGGGUAGGGGUAAAAUCCGUUGAUCCAUUGAAGACCACCAGUGGCGAAGGCGGCUUGCCAGAACGCGCUCGACGGUGAGGGAUGAAAGCUGGGGGAGCAAACCAGGG